UACAGAGGGUGCGAGCGUUAAUCGGAAUUACUGGGCGUAAAGGGUGCGUAGGUGGCAGCCUAAGUUAGAUGUGAAAUGCCAGGGCUUAACCCUGGUUCUGCGUUUAAUACUGGGCGGCUAGAGUGCGAGAGAGGGUAGUGGAAUUUCCGGUGUAGCGGUGAAAUGCGUAGAUAUCGGAAGGAACACCAGUGGCGAAGGCGACUACCUGGCUUGACACUGACACUGAGGCACGAAAGCAUGGGGAGCAAACAGG
rnacentral:rRNA from 1 species